CUCGGGUAGAGACUGUGCUGCAUUGUCGCCAGGGUUUUCAGGUAGAGAUGUAGUCUAACGAGUGGUAACUAUCUAAAAGCAUGGAAGACCUGACUGACUUCUUGAGACGAAGAGAAGUCUCUGAGGAAAUAAUACAAACCCUGGAGAAUGAGAAGUGAAUUAUUUUUCCCUCUGUAGAUCGAUGCCAGUGUUAUAAAUCUGAU